GCUUGAUAAAGGCCAUGGAGGAAGAGGGAGGCACAUCUACUUGUUUUUCAUUGUUGUUUGUUUUUUUAUGAGAUGGAGUCUUGCUCUGUCACCCAGGCUGGAUUGCGGUGGUGUGAUCUAAAGUGCUGGGAUUACAGGCCUGAGCCACCGCCCCUGCGUGGCCCCAUCUACUUGUAGAGGGGGAUUGAAGGCGGGGGAAGAGGAGGUGGGGGAUUUGUCCAGCAAAGGAUGCAGCAAAUGCCCAGCCCCAGGGAGGAGCCUGUCCUGGGGAGCGACAGCCUGAAGGCCUCCAAGUGGGGAGGGCGCUGGAGGAGGGGCCUGAGAGGCAGGCCUUGAUGAAUUGUUUGGAUUUUUUUCUAAGUGCAUUGGAAGCCACAGGAAGAUUUUUUUUUUUUUUUUUUUUUGGAUGGAGUCUCGCUCUGUCGCCCAGGUUGGAGUGCAAUGUGCCAUCUCGGCUCACUGCAACCUUCGCCUCCCGGUUUCAAGUGAUUCUCCAGCCUCAGCCCCCCGAGCAGCUGGGAAUACAGGUGCGUGCCACCACCCCCGAGUAAUUUUUUGUAUUUUUAGUAGAGACAGAGUUUCAUUGUGUUAGCCAGGAUGGUCUUGAUCUCCUGACCUCGUGAUCCGCCCACCUCAGCCUCCCAAAGUGCUGGGAUUACACGCAUGAUUACAGGCCAGCCAUAGGAAGAUCUUUAGAAGGAAAACAGCUGCCCCAAGUGGUGGCUCGCACCUGAAUUUCAGCACUUUGGAAGCUGGAGGAGAAAUUAAAUAUCAGAGUUGGAAAGGACAGAAGCAGCCUGAACUCUCAUCCAUAUGAACUCUGUACAACCAUUGUGGAGGGCCAUUGGCAGUACACAGUCAAGCUGAAGACGGAGUCUUGCUGUGUCGCCCAGGCGGGAGCGCAAUGGCGCGAUCUCAGCUCACUGCAACCUCUGCCUCCCAGGUUCAAGCGAUUCUUCUGCCUCAGCCUCCUGAGUAGCUGGGAUUACAGGCAUGUGCCACCAUGCCUGGGUAAUUUUGUAUUUUUAGUAGAGAUGAGGUUUCACCAUGUUGGUCAGGCUGGUCUUGAACUCCUGACCUCAGGUGGUCUGUCCGCCUCAGCCUCCCAAAGUGCUGGGAUUAUAGGCAUGAGCCACUGCACCCAGCUUGUCAUGCUCUUUUAACAGGGACCCACAGGAGAAGAUACAUUUACCAUCAAGACUAGACUGCAUAAUGAAAAAGAAUGUUUUACUGAAAUGCUGUUAUUAAA